UAGGGAAUCUUCGGCAAUGGACGAAAGUCUGACCGAGCAACGCCGCGUGAGUGAAGAAGGUUUUCGGAUCGUAAAACUCUGUUGUUAGAGAAGAACAAGGACGUUAGUAACUGAACGUCCCCUGACGGUAUCUAACCAGAAAGCCACGGCUAACUACGUGCCAGCAGCCGCGGUAAUACGUAGGUGGCAAGCGUUGUCCGGAUUUAUUGGGCGUAAAGCGAGCGCAGGCGGUUUCUUAAGUCUGAUGUGAAAGCCCCCGGCUCAACCGGGGAGGGUCAUUGGAAACUGGGGGACUUGAGUGCAGAAGAGGAGAGUGGAAUUCCAUGUGUAGCGGUGACAUGCGUAGAUAUAUGGAGGAACACCAGUGGCGAAGGCGGCUCUCUGGUCUGUAACUGACGCUGAGGCUCGAAAGCGUGGGGAGCAAACAGG
rnacentral:rRNA from 1 species